GGGGGGGGGGGGGGGGGGGGGGGGGGGGGGGGGGGGGGGGGGGGGGGCGGGGGUUGGGGGGGGGGCUCGGGUGGCGAACGGGGGGGUGACCCGUGAUGCACCUGCCCUUGGCUGUGGGAUAACUUCGGGGAACUGGGGCUCAUACCGGAUAGGAGCUCCUGCUGCACGGUGGGGGUUGGAAAGUUUCGGCGGGUGGGGAUGGACUCGCGGCUUAUCCGCUUGUUGGUGGGGUAGUGGCUUACCAAGGCUUUGACGGGUCGCCGGCCUGGGAGGGUGACCGGCAACAUUGGGACGGAGAUACGGCCCAGACGCCUACGGGAGGAAGCAGUGGGGAAUAUUGCACAAUGGGCGGAAGCCUGAUGCAGCAACGCCGCGUGCGGGAUGACGGCCUUCGGGUUGUAAACCGCUUUCGCCUGUGACGAAGCGUGAGUGACGGUAAUGGGUAAAGAAGCACCGGCUAACUACGUG
rnacentral:rRNA from 1 species